rnacentral:rRNA from 1 species
GGAGGAAUAUUGGUCAAUGGGACGCAAGUCUGAACCAGCCAUGCCGCGUGAAGGAAUAAGGCCCUAUGGGUCGUAAACUUCUUUUGUAUGUGAGCAAUAAGGUCCACGUGUGGACCGAUGAGAGUAGCAUACGAAUAAGCAUCGGCUAACUCCGUGCCAGCAGCCGCGGUAAUACGGAGGAUGCAAGCGUUAUCCGGAUUCAUUGGGUUUAAAGGGUGCGUAGGCGGCUUGGUAAGUCAGCGGUGAAAUUCCAGUGCUCAACAUUGGCCGUGCCGUUGAUACUGCUGGGCUUGAAUGCGGAUGCCGUGGGA